rnacentral:lncRNA from 1 species
GAAAAGUGCAACUGGCUGAACAAGAAAUCGCCUUAGACGUGGUGGCUGAUCCCGCUGAACAGCGGUUAGCACCGUCAAUGAGACGGCAGUUCUGACGGGUGAGGACUAGCAUCCGAGAGACUUUUGUCCCACAGAGCAGACGAUAGUGACUGACUGGGCUUGACCUGGGAAAACACAACCGGAGUGACGGGGUAGCCCCUACAGAAACCUUCCUCGCUUGGGAUAUUUAAAGUCUAUAAAGUCCUAGAAAGCUUGAUGGGCAGCCUCUGUGGCCUUAAAAAGGACUGCUUUUCCAGGGAAUGAGUAUAAUAUCUUGUGUAAUUCUGGUCUAAAAAACAGAGUUUCCACAUGUGGUUUUAGCUGAUGCCAUGAAUUCAUUUGGGCUAAUUGCUUCCUCCUCUUUCUUCGUUUAGGAGCUGGAAUUCCCCGUGCCUGGAGUAGCCAAGGAAUGACCCRAAUCAGCAUGAAAUGGACCUGGAUGUUGGAGAGGUACCUGGUCUCGGGACAUUCCUGCUGCUGAUUCCGCCUGUGCUGUCCUUCUGGCUCUUGGAUCACAGUGGUGCCCAUAAGAGAUUUGCUGUUCCUGGGGUUAACUGGUGCCAUGUUCCAGAUCGGGGUUUCUGCUGCAAAUGGGGAUACAAUAUAUGACCGGACUGUGCUUCCAGCGACAGCACUGGGGUGGGGAGGAUGACUGGGGGAAAACUUGCCUCUUGCCAGCUGUAGCUG